rnacentral:rRNA from 1 species
AUUGAACGCUGGCGGCAUGCUUUACACAUGCAGGUCGAACGGUAACAGGCCGCAAGGUGCUGACGAGUGGCGAACGGGUGAGUAAUGCAUCGGAACGUGCCCAGUCGUGGGGGAUAACGCAGCGAAAGUUGCGCUAAUACCGCAUACGAUCUAUGGAUGAAAGCGGGGGACCGUAAGGCCUCGCGCGAUUGGAGCGGCCGAUGUCAGAUUAGGUAGUUGGUGGGGUAAAGGCUCACCAAGCCGACGAUCUGUAGCUGGUCUGAGAGGACGACCAGCCCCACUGGGACUGGGACACGGCCCAGACUCCUACGGGAGGCGGCAGUGGGGAAUUUUGGACAAUGGGCGCAAGCCUGAUCCAGCAAUGCCGCGUGCAGGAAGAAGGCCUUCGGGUUGUAAACUGCUUUUGUACGGAACGAAACGGUCUUGGUUAAUACCCGGGGCUAAUGACGGUACCGUAAGAAUAAGCACCGGCUAACUACGUGCCAGCAGCCGCCGCAGUAA